rnacentral:tRNA from 1 species
GGUCCGGUAGCUCAGCUGGAUAGAGCAUCAGAUUUCUAAUCUGACGGUCAUAGGUUCGAAUCCUAUCCGGAUCA